rnacentral:rRNA from 1 species
AACCGGAUUAGAUACCCUGGUAGUCCACGCUGUAAACGAUGUCGAUUUGGAGGUUGUGCCCUUGAGGCGUGGCUUCCGGAGCUAACGCGUUAAAUCGACCGCCUGGGGAGUACGGCCGCAAGGUUAAAACUCAAAUGAAUUGACGGGGGCCCGCACAAGCGGUGGAGCAUGUGGUUUAAUUCGAUGCAACGCGAAGAACCUUACCUACUCUUGACAUCCAGAGAACUUUCCAGAGAUGGAUUGGUGCCUUCGGGAACUCUGAGACAGGUGCUGCAUGGCUGUCGUCAGCUCGUGUUGUGAAAUGUUGGGUUAAGUCCCGCAACGAGCGCAACCCUUAUCCUUUGUUGCCAGCGGUUAGGCCGGGAACUCAAAGGAGACUGCCAGUGAUAAACUGGAGGAAGGUGGGGAUGACGUCAAGUCAUCAUGGCCCUUACGAGUAGGGCUACACACGUGCUACAAUGGCGCAUACAAAGAGAAGCGACCUCGCGAGAGCAAGCGGACCUCAUAAAGUACGUCGUAGUCCGGAUUGGAGUCUGCAACUCGACUCCAUGAAGUCGGAAUCGCUAGUAAUCGUAGAUCAGAAUGCUACGGUGAAUACGUUCCCGGGCCUUGUACACACCGCCCGUCACACCAUGGGAGUGGGUUGCAAAAGAAGUAGGUAGCUUAACCUUCGGGAGGGCGCUUACCACUUUGUGAUUCAUGACUGGGGUGAAGUCGUAACAAGGUAACC